UUGAAGCUUGCAGGUCCUUUGUAGGUGUUUUUAGUAUGCAACAAACAAAUCUGAAGUAAUUAUACGAAAACAAAUGACGCUGAAGCAUAAUACUACCUGUCCAGGUUAACUGUGCAGUGAUGCUCUAAGACCAGGUGCUGCAAACCUUUUGGAAUGAAAAAACUCCACGGAGACCCCUUUCCCAGAGUAGAGAUAUCCCAGCUGUUCUCAGACAACACUGGCAUCCACGUUCCCUUAAGUUUGUCACCCCUUUUGCUCAGAAAUGAGGACUUUCCUCCUUUCCUCCCUUCCUUCUACGCAGUCCUGGGUUUCACUAAGAGCUGGCUGCAUUUCACUGUCAACUGAGCUGAACCACAGGGAUGAAUAUUCCCUUCUGCUUCAUCAAGAAAAAAAUACUUAAGACAUCAGAAGCUGGCUGCAGAAGAAAUCUGGCUUUUCUGUGUAUUCUUCAGCUGUCAUCUCUCUGGAGAAGACCAUUUAAUAAAGCUCCAGCAGGACCUCUGAAAUGACAGGAAAGAAGGGUUUACCUGGUCAGCCCUUUCCCCUGGUUGAGCCUGUAGCUGUUGGUGAGCAGUUCCCCAAGAUGCUGCAGCUUCAUCCAUUUCUCUGCAAAGAGAGAGAAGUGUUAAAAUAAGAGCAGCCGAUGGAAAAGCAGCCAAGAGCUAGAUGUGCAGGGAAGAGGGGAGAGAUGUGGCUCUCCCAUCAUUUCCAUGUUAGGGGUUUGCAUGGCUAGAAAAUGGAGAGACAGAUGGAUUGCAUAUCCCCUUUUUCACUCCCCCAAUCCUAUCAGAAAGGUGAAAGAAAGAGGCCUACAAAGCAACAAAGUAGUGAUUUAGCCAGGACAGGAUCUUGUGUAUCAACUCUGCAAGGGCUCAUACAAAUACACACACCUUUGGCUGCUGGAACCUGUUUGAAAGCCAGAAGGAACAUGAGCCAGAAGACCAGGUCACCC